CCUGGCGGCCUUAGCGCGGUGGUCCCACCUGAGCCCAUGCCGAACUCAGAAGUGAAACGCCGUAGCGCCGAUGGUAGUGUGGGGUUUCCCCAUGCGAGAGUAGGGAACUGCCAGGC
rnacentral:rRNA from 1 species